rnacentral:rRNA from 1 species
UACGAAGGGGGCUAGCGUUGUUCGGAAUUACUGGGCGUAAAGGGCGCGUAGGCGGUACUUCAAGUCAGGCGUGAAAGCCCCGGGCUCAACCUGGGAACCGCGACUUGAGACUGGAGAACUAGGAGUUCGGGAGAGGAUGGUGGAAUUCCCAGUGUAGAGGUGAAAUUCGUAAGAUAUUGGGAAGAACACCGAUGGCGAAGGCAGCCAUCUGGACCGACACUGACGCUGAGGCCGCGAAAGCGUGGGGAGCAAACAGGA